AUGUGUGUCACGGUUCAAGUUUGCUUAGCAUAUAAAUUUCAAUAUUCUUUAGAACCAAUUCAAAAUAUGAGGGCUUUUCGUGUUAUCAUUCGUUACACAUUCAAAGUUUCAAAACAGUUUCAUUCACAAUUGUCCAUGGAAGCCUUGAACAAAAAAAAGAAUAUUACAAAAGCAAAAGCAUGGCUAGUUCUAAGUUCUAAGCCUAAAACAUAA